ACACACUCAGGGAGUGCACCAUGUGAAGACUGGACUUAAACAGCUACACCACCAGAAGCCGAGAGAGAGGCUGGAACAUAGCCUUCCCUUUGGAGCCCUAGCAGAUGCUAAUCCAGCGUGCGUCCUGGCAGAGGUUGAAGGGGGCUCCUCAAGUCCCAGGUCCAGCUUGGUGUGGUUCAGCUACUCGAGAGACAUCUGCUGCUAAUGGAUGAGCAGUCAACCUGGACGCAGGAAAUCAUUUUUUAUUUGGUCCUGGAGGCUGGAAGUGCAAAAGGAAGGUGUCGGCAAGAUCGUUUUUUUCUGAGAGCUCUCUCCUUGGCUUGCAGAUGGCAGCUUGCUCCUGGCACAGUCUUUUCUCUACUCACGCCCAAAGUUACGGAGGACCCAGCAACCAUCUCCUGCAGCCCCUGAAAACCUCUUGACUCUUCUGUGAUGUCCCCAGUGAUCCAGCAGCCCCGGCCUUCUUUUGAUGGCUUGAACAUUUGGUCUUCAUUGAACAGUUUGUAUAUUGGAAACUUGCCAGCCUCCAUCCACAUUCCAACCUCCGUCUGCAUCCCUCGGUACAAAAUGGUUCAAUCUGUCUACCUCCUUUCACAUUCCACCAAGAUAUUCCAAGGUCCAGGGUUCCUUUGACCACCUCACACCUAACAAGUUCCCUCACUGUCUCUCACUCUCCCCUGAAGAUUCUAAGCUGCCUCUGUCCUGCUAA
rnacentral:lncRNA from 10 species